rnacentral:rRNA from 1 species
GAGGUAGGGACUACUUUUGGUUUUUCUUUAUUUAUUAAUUUUAGGUGAAAUUUAUAUUUUUAAGGAGUCUGUGAAACUUAUAUUUAAGACUAGGAUUAGAUACCCUAUUAUAUUAGGUGUUUGCCUGGGUAGUAUUAGUUAUGUUCUUGAAACCCAAAGGAUUUGGCGGUAUUUUAGUCCUUUCAGAGGAGCCUGUCCUAUAAUCGACAUUCCACGAUAUAUCCUACUUAUAUUGGCAGUUUGUAUACCUCCGUCAUAUGGGUAUUUUUUUAGAAUAUUCCCAUGCACAUUUAAUGUGAUUAUGUCAGGUCAAGGUGCAGCUUAUAUGUAAGUUGAGAUGGGCUACAAUAAUUUUAUUUAGACGGAUUUAUUUAUAUAUAUAAAUAUUGAAGGUGGAUUUGAAAGUAAAUUGGUUUAUUUAGUUGUUUGAAUUUGGCUCUAUAAUAUGCACACAUCGCCCGUCGCUCUCUCUAUAAAGAGAGAUAAGUCGUAACAUAGUAAGUGUAUCGGAAGAUGUACUUAGAAA